AUGAACGCUGGCGGCGUGCUUAACACAUGCAAGUCGAACGAAGCACCCUCAUCCGUGGAAGGGAGUAGCUUGCUACGAACGGACACACCCGAGGGUGACUGAGUGGCGGACGGGUGAGUAACGCGUGGGCAACCUGCCCCAUAGAGGGGGACAACAGUUAGAAAUGACUGCUAAUACCGCAUAGUAAAGCAGAUCCGCAUGCUUCUGCUUUGAAAGCUUUUGCGCUAUGGGAUGGGCCCGCGUUUGAUUAGCUAGUUGGUGAGGUGACGGCCCACCAAGGCGACGAUCAAUAGCCGGCUUGAGAGAGUGAACGGCCACAUUGGGACUGAGACACGGCCCAAACUCCUACGGGAGGCAGCAGUGGGGAAUAUUGCACAAUGGGGGAAACCCUGAUGCAAGCGACGCCGCGUGAGUGAAGAAGUAUUUCGGUAUGUAAAGCUCUAUCAGCAGGAAAGAUAAUGACGGUACCUGACUAAGAAGCCCCGGCUAACUACGUGCCAGCCGCCGC
rnacentral:rRNA from 1 species